GACCCGUCUUUGAGCACGGACCAAGGAGUCCAACAUGUGCGCGAGUCUAAGGGUUGUCUAAACCUGGAGGCGAAAUGAAAGUGAGCCCCUUUGGGGGCAGGCCGAUCCCCUGCCGCGGAUGUGGCGUGCAGAAGCCGAGGUGGAGAGAAUUUCCUUUGGCUUAUCUGUGCGGUUGGGUUUGCGGUGGCCCGGUGGCUUAUGGCGGCCGGGAGAUGGGGCGCAGGCCGAGGACUUGCCAUAGUGCGGCGCGGGCAACGGGCAGUCUCCUCCGGAGGCUUCCUUAUCCCGAUGUCCGCCGGCAAGUACCUGAGAGCGCAGCCGUUGGGACCCGAAAGAUGGUGAACUAUGCCUGGCGAGGACGAAGCCAGAGGAAACUCUGGUGGAGGUCCGAAGCAGUUCUGACGUGCAAAUCGAUUGUCAGAGCUGGGUAUAGGGGCGAAAGACUAAUCGAACCAUCUAGUA
rnacentral:rRNA from 1 species